UUCUCAUGCACAGUCUAUUAAUUCAAUUCUGUUUUGGUAUUAUCAUUUUCAGAGCACAGCAGGAGGCCAGGGGGCCGGGGGACAGUAGAUGGGGUUGGCAGGAAGCAUGAUUUCAGAGUCUGAGGCAGGUUGUACGUGCAGGGGUGCAGUGCUCAGGAGUCCGACCCGGCCUGGGAGAGCUGCUUUCUUGACCAGCGCCAUGUGUUCUGUGAUAUGAGGACCUCCCCGCUGUUCCAGAGCAAAGCAUCUGAGUAGCACACCUUCUCCUCUUGCACGCCAUGCUUGGUUUAUUCCACAGACGGUGAUAAGGAACAAGAAGAGAUGAAGGGGCUUGCCCAGGUGAGGGAACAAUACUGCCCUAUGUCACUAUAGUUUUUAAAAUGCUUUCAAAUUCACAGUUUGAACAGAUCCCAUCACCAUACUGUGAGGGGAGCAGGACCGCGCCCGUUUUACAGGUGAGCGAGGGAGGCUCCCACAGGUAGAGAAACUUGCCCAUGGCAACCUAGAACUCAGGACUCCCUGACCAGUUCUUUCCUUACUACAUCUUUCUCUUUCCCUACCUCCCCAAUCUGUUCUUUUUUCGUCUACCCACACCCAGCCCAAUCCACUUGUCCAGGCACUGUGCAACCGUUCAUCGACCCAAUAUUCAUUCACCUAGUGUGGGUUAGGCACUGUGCCUGGUGCUGGGGACAUGGUCAAAGGCCCUGUGCUUGUGGGACUCAUAGCCUGAGGAAGAGUCAGACAUAUGAACAGGAAAUUAUAAUACAGUGUAAUAAGAGUAGGUCUAAAACUGAGCUCCUGAUGGUCCUUCUACAGUCUUACAGUCUUCCUCAUCUUGGUAAAUGGUAACUCCAUUCUUCCAAUUUUCUAGUUGCUCGGGUGAAAACCUGGAGUCAUCCUAGAUUUCCCUCAUGACCCACAUUCAGUGUGUCAGCAAAUAACACUGUCUCUCCCUUCAAGGUCCAUCCAGAACCUGAGCAUGUCUUGCCAUCUCCAUCACUCCAUCCAGGCCAACUGCCAUCACUGCUCGCACAGGUCAUUGCAGUAGCCUCUUAUGUGGUCUCCCUGCUUCUACCCUUGCCCCCUUUCUGUCUAUUGUUAACGGAUGGAAGCCAGACUGAUCUCCUUACAACAUAAGUCAGAUCAUGCAAGCCUUGCUCAGAACUCUCUGAAGACUUCUCUUCUCAGACUAAGAGCCAGCCUUUGUACUGACCUGCAGAACCCUGAAGAUCUGACUGUUGCUUUCCUCCUCCCUGACCUCAUUUCCGGCUGCCUUCCCCCUCACAUCCUCUGCUCCCAGGAUGCCCUCCUCAUAGUCCCUCCAAUAUACUUGGCAUGUUCCCACAUGGGCCUCUGAGCUUGUGGUUUCCUGUACCUGGAGUGUUCUUCGUCCAGAUCUAGGAGUGCCCCUCACCCUGUUCCAUUCAAGUUCAUACUGGAAUGUCACCUGCUCAGUGGUGCCUUUCCUGGCCAUCCUAUUUUACCAGAAACACCUCCCCAGCUUCUUCUCUACUUUAUCUUUCUUCUUACCACUUAUCACAUCAGUAUCAUAGAUUUUACUUAUUAUCUUGCUUGCUGUCUGUCUCCUCUGACUAGUCCCAUGAGGGCAGAGAUUUCUGUCUCCUGGGCUUACUGCUGCAUUCCCAGCACCAAGCCUCUUACAGGUUGUCAGCACACCUUAGGUGAAUGAAUGAAUGGAAUGGAGAGAGAGAGAGACAUCCAAAGUAUCAGGUGAGCACAGAGGAGGCAAAACUUUGGAGUGCAGACUAUGAGGUAAGACUUCCUGGAUGAGACUAUACCUGAGCUGAGUCUUAAAAGAUAAUGAGCAAUGGACAGGACAAGGGAUGGCUCAGGGGUAGGAAGUGGAAGGGACUGGACCCUUCAGGGCUUAGCACAGUGCUGGCGAAGAAAUAGGUAUUCAAUAAGUAUCUAUUAAAUGGAUAAAUGGGUGGAGGAGAGGGGAAGCUCUUCUAGGCAGGGAGGGCAGCAUGAGCCAAGCAACGGGUGUGGGGACAGCAGAAGCAGUUUCACUGCUGGGGCAGAGAAAAGUGCCAGAUGAGGCUGAGAGAGGUGAGUUGAGCCAGAGCAUGGUGGGCAGGUCUUGUAGUCCAUGAGAAAGCAUUUGGGCUUGAUCCUGAGGCAGCAAGGAGCCACUGAAGGGGUUAGAACAGGGGGAGGAAGGGGCUAACUUGCUUGAGAUUAGCAUGAAUCAUCCCGAAGAGGAUAGAUUUAGUGCCAGAGCUGGUGUUUCCCAUGGCUCUAGUUUGCAGAGAGUAGAGCAGGGAGAAGAGCUGGGCUACCUCACAUUGAAAAGCAAACCUAGAGAGCACCAGAGUUUGAAGGCGGGAAGAGAACCAUCCUGAAGGGGCAGUUCUAGGACUCACCUUCUAGCAUGCUGAGAUUGGCGUUCAGGGCUUCCACCUCACUCAUGAUAAUGGGACAGAGCUGGCCAUAAAAAGAAUUUUAAAAAAUUUCAGGUUAUCACAUUGCACUUGAAACCUCUAUUUAGGGGCCUAGACCUGCAAACAAAGGCCUUCUGGUUAGGAGCCAUUCUCCCUUUGGUCACCAGGACUUUCCCUGAAAUUUGUCAAUGCCUAUGGACCCCAUGUUCUGUACGUAUGGGUGGUGUGUCAUUGAAUGCUGGCUAAACUUCAGAGCAACCGGGACUACACCCAGUUAGCCCCAUGAAAGAAGGAGCCCUCGGCUUCUCUUUCUGUGGUGUGACAGGACACGUGCCCGGUGCAUCUGGUGCGGUCACCCCUGAGGACCUGUUGCUGGACCCUUGCCGGCUGGGGACGCCACCGCCUCCCGCCUCCUCUGUGGCGGCACCAUGCUCUGCUGGGAAGGUGCAAGCCGGGCCUUCGCUCUCCCCCUUGGCUGGCUUGAGAGCCCAGUAGUCAGACAUCUGUUUAGAUCAGAACCCCUUCUGGAGUUAGAAAAGCAAUCUUGAUUGGACUCGAGCUUGUCUGUAGGAAGGAGGAGGCGUGCCGACAUGGGUGGGCCACCGUGUGCCAGGCGUGUGCUAAGCACUCGGCAUGGUGGUUACCAGCAGAGGCUUGGGAGCCUGGCCGCCUCGGGUUGACUUGGCACGUGAUUUGUACUCUGUUCUCAGUUUCCUCAUUUGCAACACGAGGAGGAUAACGGUACCCACUUCAUUAUGUUGUUGUGAGUAGAAAUAGAAGUAAUCCAUGUAAAAUUGCCCGCGCAUAGCAAGCAUUCAGUAAACGUCAGCUGUCUAUUUUAACCCCAUUUUGGUCUCACGACGGCGCUGAGAGGUGGGCACCACUGUCCCGCCUUCACAGAUGGGAAAACUGAAGCUUAGAGAGCUUUAGCGAGUUGCCAGGAGUUAUAUAACCAGGACUUAGAAUAGAUAGUUGUGGUCUGAGCACUCUUUUCUGUUUUCCCACGGCACAGAGGGAGUACUAGAAGCAAAGCGUCCAUGGUCUCUAAGUCCUAUACACAAUCCCAGCAAACUUAGCUAGUGGCUUCCUGUCAGAGCCCAGAGAACCACGCCUGGUUUCCAGCAGCGGAGCGAUGGCGAGUGUGGGGUCCCCGAGCCUACAGUGCUUUCCCUGUCACUCUCUGACACGCAGGUGCACCGGCCCUCAGCACCUGCCAGGUGAGGAUGGAGAAAGUCCGUGCAACCUUGGAGUCCCCCGACCAGCCGGCCACCUCCUCGGACAAGCUGCUGAGUGUGUUUGCGUAUUGAUUUCCUCACUGACGCUGACGUUCAUCAAGCACUGCCUGCCAAGCAUGAGGGGGAUGGAGGCUUCCAGAUACUGUUCUUGCCCUUUCAUUUCCACUCCUCAUCCUUUUCCUUGUCUCCCCCCAGAUAUGGGUAAGGCGUCCAGCGAUGGUCUGGCCUGGACUGGAAAGAGGGCGCACAGCCAAAUCCAUCUCUCCCCUUCCUCAAACACUGAUUUCUGGAAUUGAGACACUUGUAACUUUGGAAGCUAUCUUAACUUAUACUGUUUCUGGAAACAUCCUUUCUUCUCCCCCAUUUCUUACCUAUCAAAGUCGUACUUAUACUUCAAGGCCCAGUUCAAGUCCUACAUCCUCUAAAAAAUAUCCCUUUUGGGUUAUUUUAGGCCGUUUUGAUUGAAUCUUUCCAUUUCUCUGAACCCCUUCGGUUCAGUCUAAUGAUCAUGUAGUUAUGCAUUAAAUUCAAAUACUCAUUCAGUUAUUGUUCCACAAGCCUGAGUUGGGUUUUCCUAAAAAGAUAAUAAGUUUAUUCCUAUUUUAUAUCCCCAACAGCCUGUAGCCUAGGGCUGGGCAUGCAGUAGGUAUGCAAUAAACUCUUGUUGGUUGUUUGCCCAUCCUGUGCUGAGCACUUGAGGUAGGGAAUGCUGUUUCAUUCAUCUCUGCAUCCCCAGCACUUAGCAGAAUGUUUGGCACAUGGCAGGCACUUGCAAAACUUAGUAAGUUGCAAAGGAUAAUGUGUGUGAAAGUGCCUUGGAUGAUGCCUAGCAUACAACAGGUGCUCAAUAAAUGUUUAUUGACUAAGAACUAGGUAAAGCAUGGCAGAACCGCUGAGCAUUUUACUGUGGUUGCAUCACUUCUGAAGACUUACCAUUUCAUUUAAGUUCUUUAAAAUAGGUUUCUCCAUGGGCUCAGCAAAGGAGUUGUACAGGACACUGGGGAAAAAAAGAGAAAGAAACGGGCUUAUUCAGGAACUGUAUCUGCCAGUCGUGAACCUCCUCGGGCUCUGCCGGAGAAUCCAGCCCCAGACCAGCAACUGCCCAGCAUGGCGCUGCCACUCACCUGAGUUCUCCCGAAAAUGACACAUGGGCAUGGCUCACUUGGGCGUAGCAGUCUUGGAGCUUCAGGAUUGGGUGACCGAAGUCACUGAGGGCCAGGACAAUGAUACCGGUGAAGUAGACCCCAGAGAGAAACAGAUCAGCUCCUCCUGUGUCUUGACUGUUGAGAGGAAAAAGUGCAAGGUUACCCAGGCCUGGGCAGGGGUGAGAUGGAUCAUUUCUCUGACUCUCCACAGCCUAUAAGCUCCUGUAGGCAAGAAUUCUGUCACCUCUGGAUUCCUGGCACCAACAAGAGAGAGCACAAGCAGGGGGAGCUGCAGGCAGAGGGAGAGGGAGAAGCAGGCUCCCAGCUGAGCAGAGAGCCCGACGUGGGGAUCAAUCCCAGGACCUGCGAUCAUGACCUGAGCCAAAGGCAGACGCCCAACUGACUGAGCCACCCAGGUGCCCCAAAAGCUUUUCAAAAACUGAAUUGAGAGGCAGUUGAGGCUCAGAGAGAUUCCCAGACUUGCCCGAGAGCUCACAGCUACUGCGUGUCAUCAGCGAGGCUUUGGAGGAACGGGGAGCAGAGAACAGAAAUCAGGCAGAGCAGACCUGAACUCCGAUCUUGCCUCGCCCCCUUACUGAACUCACAACCAUCCUUGGAGGUGGAUGUUGCUAUAAUCCUACCUCCCUCCCAGACACGUGAACACAGAGACUUGGAGAGUCUGAAUGACUUGUCUGAGACCAUGGCCUGCUCAUUGUCUUCUCGGUGGGCAUGAGUGACAUAAAAGACAAAAAAACAAAACAGAAAAACCUAGGCAGACUAUAAAGACUCAGGCUACCUGACGGCUGACUGAGCUGGGACAGCACCAGAGAGGGGGCAGUCCCCACUGGGAGAUUUUGCGCUGGCAGAGACCAGAAGUUUGUUCACGAUUCUUACCUCAAGCAGAGGAAGCGUCCAAAGCUGGGGAGCACCUUCGAUUCCUUCUGCCUCUGAAGCUACGUGUUCUCCGCUUGAGCCUUGAACUCAGCUGCUGAAAAGACAAGAUAAUUAAGUCUGAAUCAUCUAGUGGUGGAUUUUUUUUUAAAUGCCUCUUUCAAAAUGUGCUACUUAGUCGCUACACUUCAAUUGCCCAAUAGCAUGAACGAACACUCCAGCCUCUACCUAGAUGAGCAGACAAUGCCACCCAUGCAAUGCUUACUCCCUGUAAAACACACACACACACACACACACACUAUUAUGACUACGUUACCAGAAUGAUUAACUCAAGACUUCCAAUGUACUGAAAGAGGUGUCAAGUUGCAUUGUAUUGAAAGAGGAAGAAUUUUCCCUUCUGGGUCAAUAAGCCAGUUUUUCCUGGCCAGGGUGCCUGUAGCGGAUGGCCUAACUACUGCCCAGAAUACCUUUUGGACUUUUGGUGGAUCGGCUUCAGUCCGAAAGCCUGAGGCUUGAUAACCGGGCUGACCUAGUUACCACCUUUACCUUUCAGGGUAGGAGCAGAGCACAGAUGGUAUCUCUAAGUGUUUGCUCCUCUUCGGGUGGGUUAGUGCCUUCCGCUCCCAGUAUUUCUUUGAGGUUCAGUUGGGUGGGUGCAUCAACUCCUAUGUGACUUCACACCGGUAGGUUCUAAACCCUAUCCACCCUCCCGUCCCUCAUGUUUUAGUCUUUACAUUUUACACAGCCAGGGAUCUGAUUGCAUGAAGUAUCUAAGGUCUUAUUUACAGUUUUCUGGGUAAGAUAGGGCAACCCACUGUCUUAGUUUUCUCAGGAUGCAGGAUUUUCAGUACUAAAACCAGAACAGUCCUGGCAAAACCCAGGAGAUUGGUAACCCUAAGAAGAACAACAGGCUUGCUCACUUGGCAUUGUCCGCACUCCUGACAGCUCUUCAGGUCUCUCACCCAGGACGCCUCCAGUUAUAUUUACCUAUUUAACUUGUGUUUCCUUAGAGACACAAUGGGAAUAAAAAAUAGUAUCUACCUUGAUAGGUUCUGGUGGAAAAAAAAGUGUUAACCGUCAGUCUGUUGGGGCUGUUAUGACGUCUAAACAACAGACGUUUAUUGCUCACAGUUCUGGAGGCUGGGAAGUCCAAGAUUAAGGAGCCAGCAUGAUCACAUCUUCCUGGUUCAGAGCCAGCGCCUCUGACUGUGUCCUCACAUGGUGGAAGGAGCCAGGGAUCUCUCUGGAGCCUUUUUAUACAGCAUUAGUCCCAUUCAUGAGGGCUCCACCUUCAUGACUUGAGCACCUCAUAAAGGCCCCACCCACAGAUACCAUCACUUUUGGGGAUUAGGAUUUCAACAUAUGAAUUUUGGAGGGACGCAAACAUUCAGACCAUAGCAAUAACCUGGAAGAAUUUGCUCUUAAAACUGAAAAAUGCUGUAAAAUUUUAUUCAUCAGUGUAUGUCCUUAUCAAUGGUGAUACAAGCCUGAAGAUACUCUCCUCACCGAAUCAUUUAUUGUCAGUCAUCACAGAUUCCACUCAUUCAGUCCACAAAUAUUGGGCAAGGACCUCUUCAGUA